rnacentral:rRNA from 1 species
UACGUAGGGGGCAAGCGUUGUCCGGAAUCAUUGGGCGUAAAGAGCGUGUAGGCGGCCCGAGUAAGUCCGCUGUGAAAGUCCAGGGCUCAACCCUGGAAUGCCGGUGGAUACUGUCGGGCUCGAAUCCGGAAGAGGUGAGUGGAAUUCCUGGUGAUAGCGGUGAAAUGCGCAGAUAUCAGGAGGAACACCAAUGGCGAAGGCAGCUCCACUGGGACGGUAUUGACGCUGAGACGCGAAAGCGUGGGGAGCGAACAGG